rnacentral:rRNA from 1 species
GCUUGUCUCAAAGAUUAAGCCAUGCAUGUCUAAGUAUAAACAAUUUUGUACUGUGAAACUGCGAAUGGCUCAUUAUAUCAGUUAUAGUCUACUCGAUAGUACCUUACUACUUGGAUACCCGUAGUAAUUCUAGAGCUAAUACAUGCAACAAUACCCAACUGCUUGUCGGGCGGGUAGCAUUUAUUAGAUUGAAACCAAUGCAGCUUUCGGGCUGGUAUUGUGUUGAAUCAUAAUAACUGUGCGGAUCGCACUUUUGUGCGAUAAAUCGAUUGAGUUUCUGCCCUAUCAGCUUUGGAUGGUAGGAU